GUUGCAGAAAUAGUAGCUUGCAGGUUUCUGAUAUCGCAUCAGUGGACAGGCAGCACGCACUAUAUUAAGUAAGUGUAAAAGAAUUUAAAAUGUAGCUCUGAUUCAGAUGUAUAUUAGCUCAGCUGAGCCGUGUGUCGGGGGUUUGGCAUUCCUCUUCCUCUCGACAGCAAAAUCUGGGCAAAGUUGAAAGUUGCAAGAUUCCAGUCAAACAAUUGUCCUUGCUUGGGUAAAUAUCAUCAAAUGAAACAAAUGUGAGUGAGUUACAAAGGUGGACUUUGACAGAAAGUGGCAUUCUGAGACAUGCAACUCUUUUGAUCCACCCGGCUCGCCUCCAUUGGGAUUUCUCCAUCUCGCGUGUUCCUGUAACAGUUUCUUUGCCUUCAGUUAGAACACUUAUUUCACUAUGUUAAGAUUAGUUGUGUCUCUCCUUAACUGAGAUGUAAGCGUAUUGGAGACAAAGGACCGUGACUUAUGUACUUUGGUAAUUUUUGCCAUAUUAGAACAGUACUUCAAAAUGUUGUAUUUCACUGAAUUCUUAAAACCUUGUAAAAAUGUACAUUGUUGAACAAUCUUCAAAGGCUUAUGUUCUGUGCUCAAAGAGAGUCUCUUGGAUACUGAGAUUCUGAAGGCUGUGUCUGUCAUAGCACCAAUCUGGACCCAUUCAGCCACUUUCAGAUGCUUCCAAAAUGCUGGCUGUUUGGCAUCAUCCAAACCCAGAAACCAGGUGACUGGCUGAUUUUUUUUCCCAUACUUAUAGAAUCAUAAGAUUUGAGAGCCAGAAGGAACCUUAGGGAACUGAACUCCUCAUAUGACAGAAGAAAGAAUUGUGAGCCUGAACUGUUAAGUGACUUUUCCAAAGCCACGUGGUUGGUUCGUGACCCAGGUGUGUGGAUCCAGCUGAUAAUAUCUCUGUAUGGUCCUGUCUACUGAGCCUUCCUGGCAGUGACCUUGGGUUCCACUUAAGACGUCACCAGGCAACUCGAGCUUUUUGCCCCGUGUGGGGAUUGGCUGGCUUUCCAUACGUAAACACCGUCAUCCGCUGGAUAGAAUUAAAAACAAAAGUGGACUGAGAGUUGAACUCAGGGGGACUGAAAGCAAUGUUAACAAUUCCUUAGCCCUCGCCUCGCUGAGGAUAUGGCAGCUGCUGAAUUCAGUCAAGUUUUAGACCCUUAAAAAGAGUGGAAAAAAGAAAGCACAUACUUUCCAGUGCCCGGGCACCACGUAGCCGGGCCAGCUGGGCGCAGCACCGUGGC
rnacentral:lncRNA from 1 species